GAUGAAGAGGUUUCAGUAUAGCUGUGACUCUCGACGUGACUGCAAGAACCGCGCUGCCGGUGUGGCCAUCUAUAUGCGAGAUAGGGUCAACGGCUCACGCCAUAGACCUCUUUGCUGACUGCGAUGACGGUGGCUUAGGUCCUGCUCCAAGAAGACUCCCUGCCAGUCCUGCCAAAUCACAAUACCACCAGGAACCUUGUGUGCCUCCUUCGAACUAUUUUGGCUGUCGUCGUGUCUCCUCGCAAAAAGUAGUUCGAUGGGUACCGUUGAAUCUCGUGUGAACUGAAAAUGUAAAUGCCAACAGGGCGAUUUCAGGUAAAAUAAAAGAAAUAAAAUGAA